rnacentral:misc_RNA from 1 species
GAUGAAGAACGUAGCGAAAUGCGAUAAGUAAUGUGAAUUGCAGAAUUCAGUGAAUCAUCGAAUCUUUGAACGCACAUUGCGCCCGCCAGUAUUCUGGCGGGCAUGCCUGUUCGAGCGUCAUUUCAACCAUCAAGCCCCAGGCUUGUGUUGGGGACCUGCGGCUGCCGCAGGCCCUGAAAACCAGUGGCGGGCUCGCUGUCACACCGAGCGUAGUAACUCUACAUCGCUAUGGUCGUGCGGCGGGUUCUUGCCGUAAAACCCCCAAUUUUUUAAGGUUGACCUCGGAUCAGGUAGGAAUACCCGCUGAACUUAAGCAUAUCAAUAAGCGGAGGA